GAGACACUCUUCUGGGGCAAGACUUGCUUCAGUGGGGCUUUGGUGCUCACUGAGUCUGCCCCCCUGAGUAUGUCCCU
rfam:Myotis lucifugus cont2.70909, whole genome shotgun sequence.